rnacentral:rRNA from 1 species
AUUGAACGCUGGCGGCAUGCCUUACACAUGCAAGUCGAACGGCAGCACGGGUGCUUGCACCUGGUGGCGAGUGGCGAACGGGUGAGUAAUUCAUCGGAACAUGUCCUGUAGUGGGGGAUAGCCCGGCGAAAGCCGGAUUAAUACCGCAUACGAUCCACGGAUGAAAGCGGGGGACCUUCGGGCCUCGCGCUAUAGGGUUGGCCGAUGGCUGAUUAGCUAGUUGGUGGGGUAAAGGCCUACCAAGGCGACGAUCAGUAGCUGGUCUGAGAGGACGACCAGCCACACUGGGACUGAGACACGGCCCAGACUCCUACGGGAGGCAGCAGUGGGGAAUUUUGGACAAUGGGCGAAAGCCUGAUCCAGCAAUGCCGCGUGUGUGAAGAAGGCCUUCGGGUUGUAAAGCACUUUUGUCCGGAAAGAAAUCCUUGACUCUAAUACAGUCGGGGGAUGACGGUACCGGAAGAAUAAGCACCGGCUAACUACGUG